UACAGAGACCUCAAGCGUUAUCCGGAAUCAUUGGGCGUAAAGCGUACCGAUAGGGGGUUAUACAAGUCAGCAGUGAAAUCUCCGAGCUCAACUCGGAAUCUGUCUUUUGAAACUGUAUGACUAGAGGGGCAAAGAGGAAGCUGGAACGAACGGUGUAGUAGUGAAACGCGUUGAUAUCGUUCGGAACACCAAUAGCGUAGGCAGGCUUCUGGGUGCCACCUGGCACUGCUAGGACGAAAGCGUGGGGAGCGAAUGGG
rnacentral:rRNA from 1 species